rnacentral:lncRNA from 1 species
CACGCAGCUAAAUUGAGGGGCUUGCUUGUUUGUUCUUCACGAUCCCUGUAAAGAGAAACAUUUUAGGUUGGAGGGAGCUGGAAGGGAAGGCUGGAGGCAGCCUGGGAGGCUCUCCUUCGAGGCAGAUCUCCUCCCUGCUGGCUGACCUGGGUCAGGAUUUUCCCCUGGGCAGCCCUGUCUGGCCGUUCCCAUCAGGGAGGAUGGCCAGCACCGGCUGGAGGGCUGUGCUGGAGGGGGCACUCGGGACAAGGGGCUUGCUGUGCAGCUUCGUGCGCCACAGUGAAGCUGGAGCGGGUGCCACACAGCUGAAUCAGGGGCUGUGCCUGUGGCUUUAACUUCAUUUUCUGCUGCAGGCCUCCUGGUAUGUAAGAAAGCAAAUUCAAGCAUGCCGCUAUGUUCACCGAGGCAGCAAACUUGGGGGGGGGAGGGAGGUGGAGAAAAUUCCCCUCCUUCUGCAGUUCAUGGUGUUCUUCUAAACUAUUUAUAAAUAGGUCUACUGUAGCCAGUGUUUGCAUUUGGACUGCUUCACUGUUCUCGUUUUCAAGGCUUCUCUUAGAUCUGACAGUAAAGGUCAGGUUGACUCCCCUCAUCUGAAAUGAAGAGGGGAAGAAAAUUAACCCUGUAGUCAGGUGGCUCAAAGGCAGUAAUUCCCAUCAACGUGAGCAAGUUCUCCGUUGUGCGUGGCUGGGGCAGAGCGCCGGACCCACUCUCCCUUUUGCUCCAUUUUCGUUUCCCUGCCCUCUUCAUUAGCUGCUGACAGUUUUAGCUUCCUACGUCCAUUUAAAGAGAUUCCCCCCGCACAUCAUCUGGGAUUCAUGAACUGCAGAGAUCUGGCAGGACUCAGAUACCUCUUUUCUUGGAGCAGCUCAGCAGAAGAACACAAAGAUGUCACUUCUGGCAUGGAUCACCCAGCGGCGCAUCCCUGGAAGAUGGACUGGUGCUCAGGUGCUGAGGUUUCAGGUCAGACAGAACCCAUGGGGAUGCUUCUUAAUGCACCAGCCUGGCUCCAUCCAGCUUGCCAGCACCAAAAGGAGGCAUCCGACCCCCACAAGGCACAGGCAACUCCACUGCUUGUCCUGCUCCUGCUGACUUCUUCGCUGACCGGCAGCAGCCUGGUGUUGCUCAAUGCUCCCUGUACGUGUCUGUGCCCACCUGAGUGCAGGAUACGGCCUCCCCCUGCCCGUCACAACCGGGGCCAUCACCCAUGCUCAAUCACACCACAUCCCUCCGCAUGUGAAGCCUGCAAGUUUUGGGGCAUGUGUAGAAAUGGUGAGAAGGUGGUGGAACACCAUCAGGGGUUCGGUCACACGUGGUGUGCUCCCAGCAGACCAGCACAACAGCUCAGGGAGCAGAUACUGCAACGUGUUAAGUCAUUUAUUUGAUGAUGAGGCAGAGAAAGCCAAGAGGACUAGCCUAGAGGAAAGCCUCAUUGCUAUGUGGUGAUGUUUCAAAAUUCCCCUUUUUGUUCUUCCAGCAGCCCAAGUACCUCGUUGGCUUUUCAGACGUGAUCAGAACACUGCUCAGCAUGGGAAGGGUGGGGAUGCCACACUUUCAUGAUGAGCCAGGAGAGGCCACGCUAGCCAGGGUUUGCACGGUAGCCCCAGCAGGCUUUGCAGAUGGAAGCUGUUUUAGGAUAAUUUGGUGUCUUUCUAUUCUGCAGAUUUCUUAACGUGUGUGUGUGAGCAGUUGGCUGCUGGGACAGGAAGAUGUGACUGUGCAGGCCCUUUGCAGCACUGAAAGCAAACCUGGUGCAGGUUUGUUCACGAGCUGGUGAGUGUUGAAGAUCCACCCAUGCUUGGUUAUCCUGAAGAGCUGCUCCUGGCUGCAGGUGACACCUACCAGGAGAGGCACUUCCCCAUUCCUCCAUACCCGUGGCAGACACCUCUGCUCCCUAGAGGCUGUGACCAUCAUGCAGCCACAGCUGUCCCCUCAUCAAUCCUAAAGGUGGAUGCAGUGAGACCCAGCACCAUCAGAGCUGACCGCACACGAGGCAACUCAUGUCUGGAAGCAGUCAGGCUCUGCUGAGCACCAGAAGGCACAUGGGUGAGUUACCUUAUAAGCAGCCUAGACUUAAAUUAAACAUGGUUUAUAAGUAGAGGCAUAACGGAGGCAUAUUGGGAGGUUAUGUGCCAUUAUAGGGUGCUUGGGAUGUGCUCAUGUGGGUCUCCACCAAUGUGGAGAUCCUGUACUGUGCUCAGUUGUGGGGCUGCCAAGGAGCCCUCCUCGUCCAGCAGCUACAGACGAUGGCUUUGUGGGUGAUGAUCUGCUUACAUGGGCUUCUGCAUUCAUUGUAUAGAAUAAAUAAUUUACCACUAAUGUUUGGGAUUUGUAG